CUAAGUCUGUGACCCUGAACUGUGCU
rnacentral:piRNA from 1 species